rnacentral:rRNA from 1 species
CAGGGCUUGACAUGCCGUGAAUCCUUUUGAAAAAAAGGAGUGCCUUCGGGAACGCGGACACAGGUGGUGCAUGGCUGUCGUCGGCUCGUGCCGUAAGGUGUUGGGUUAAGUCCCGCAACGAGCGCAACCCUCGUGUUUAGUUGCCAUCAUUUAGUUUGGAACCCUAAACAGACUGCCGGUGAUAAGCCGGAGGAAGGUGAGGAUGACGUCAAGUCAGCAUGCCCCUUACGCCCUGGGCGACACACGUGCUACAAUGGAACGGACAGCGAGUUGCGAACCCGCGAGGGCGAGCUAUUCUCACAAACCGUUUCUCAGUUCGGAUUGAAGGCUGCAACUCGCCUUCAUGAAGUCGGAAUCGCUAGUAACCGCAGAUCAGCUACGCUGCGGUGAAUACGUUCCC